CUCCACAGGCUUUCUUGAACUGUGAACUCGAUCGCGUGCUCUUAGCUUGCUUGCUCUCGCUCGCUUUGUGUUGAUGGUUCAAGAAAGUCCUUGGAA
rnacentral:pre_miRNA from 1 species